GUCUCUGAUGGCAUUGGUGACAUACUGACAGGUCCUGAGGAGGGUGACCAAGGUCUUUGGAAUAACUGCAGUCACCCCCAUGUAUUAAUUUGCAGGUUUUUUUGUUUUUUUUUUUUUUUGUAUUAUACUACACUCUGUUGGCCUUGGACUUUUCAUUAAGGAAAAAAAAUGUAUCACAGCUAUACUCCCCCCUGCGCCUUUGCUACACUUAAACUCACUCAACAUGAUUGGGGUUUGGGAAAUGCUUCCCCAAAUGAAUUGAUUAGCUAUUCUAUGAAGUAAAGCUGGUUACUUGCUUGCUCAGUUUUUGAAUGAGGAGCCACCAGUUCAACGUUUAAAUGAUGUUGCCAGGUGUAGCACCAUAGCCAUAUUAUCAAUAGAAUGACAGGUUACAAUCCAGGGUGACCCUGUUAGUCUUUUGUUUGCUCUGGCUUUUGUCAUUUCAUCUGAAAUGCAUCAUCAUUCCAGAAUGUUUUUCUUUAUUGCAAGGGCUGUGGUUGGCAGUCAGUUUUGUUUAUUAUCAAAAUACAUCCCAUUAAGUUCCAGAAGGACAGAUAAUUAUUUGGUUUAAUAGGACAUGGAAAUAGAAGCCUUACUAACAUGCACACAUGCAUUGUUUAAGACAAACUUUCCUCCCUGAAACUGUUACCCCUUGGCCUAUUAAUAUCAACUGUAAUACAACUGUAACUGUAAAGGCAACUUAAGAGUUCCAAUUUUCAAAGGAUAGAAGAAAUUCCUUUAGUGGUGUUUACUUAAGAGAAAGAAUGGUCAGAUAAGGAAAGUAGGUAGAUGAAGUGAUCAUGUCACUAAACACACCUUCCUCAUGUAACAGCUAUUUGUGAAGUUUAUGUCUCACUAGGCCAUGAAGACACAGAUAAUUAAUCUCUCCCCCCUCCUUCCCCACUCCCUCCCUAUCUCUCAUGAAGCUUCCCCUGUGCAUGGUGAUCUCAUGUGAUGGUCAGCAGCUUGAUUGAGCUCAGGUCUUCACGAAUGGCAAAGUGUGCACUCUACCAGAUCUGAAGAAUCCAAAGGGCAAAAGGGGAGCACUAAGAGGAAGCUGAGGAUCUCAGACUCUGGUGGAGCAGGGUGGCUGUUUGGUGGGAGGUAUUAUGCAAUCAAUCAUGGAGAAUUGGAUCUGUCACAUCAACCCUUUUUCAUUUGUCAGCAUCUGGGUCAGCAUGUGACUGUUCUUGGCUGACAUGGGGAAGUCCAUGAGGAAGCUCCUAAGAAAGAUCCCUUCUCCUCACUCAGCUGCUUCUCUUCUUCCCCCCACCCCCUUUUUUCCCCACUUGGUAUCAAGAAAAAUGUAUGUUUGGAGAGCUAUUGUAUGGAAUACAUAUGCACAGUUAUAAACACUAAUAAUUUAGAUGUAGACUUACUGACAGGGAGAGAUCAUUAUAACUAGUCAUUAAAACUUGACGUAAACCUUUUGUCUAAUGUAUGGGAUGAAAAAGAUCUUCCUCUGUUCUGGGAAGGGGGGCUGAAAAAAAAUCUCUCAUUCUUAAUGGAGUUUCUAGUUGGGUGAUAGUUUCUUUUGUUGUGCAGAAGCUUUGCAAUUUCAUGUAGUCCCACUGAUUAGUUUUUUUUUUUCCCUUGUGAAUAGAUUUGUGUUGUUGAAGACUCCUAGUAAAUUUAAGAUUGAAAAGAGCUUUGCCAGUGUUUUUCCUUUAAAUAUUUGGUAGUUUCUGGUUUAAUGCCCAAAUCCUUAAUCCAUUUGGAGUUUAUUUUUCUUUGUGGUGAGAUGAAGUGGUUCAGUUUCAUUCUUCUGCAUGUUUUGACCCAAUUUCCCCAAAGCAUUUGUUGAAGAGACUCUUCUUCUAUUUAAUAUUUUGGACUUCCUUAUCAAAAAUUAGAUGUUCAGAGGUCUGGGGGCUAAUUUAUGUGCUCUCAGUUCUAUUCUACUAGUCACUGUGUCUACUUAUGUUCCAAUACCAGGAAGUUUUGAUUACAAUAGCCUUAUAAUCAGUUUGAGACCUGGGAGUAUGAUUCCUCCAGUUUUUUUUUUUUUAGGUGAUUCUAAGUAUUUUUC